GACGAACGCUGGCGGCGUGCCUAAUACAUGCAAGUUGAGCGAUGAAGAUUGGUGCUUGCACCAAUUUGAAGAGCAGCGAACGGGUGAGUAACGCGUGGGGAAUCUGCCUUUGAGCGGGGGACAACAUUUGGAAACGAAUGCUAAUACCGCAUAAUAACUUUAAACAUAAGUUUUAAGUUUGAAAGAUGCAAUUGCAUCACUCAAAGAUGAUCCCGCGUUGUAUUAGCUAGUUGGUGAGGUAAAGGCUCACCAAGGCGAUGAUACAUAGCCGACCUGAGAGGGUGAUCGGCCACAUUGGGACUGGGACACGGCCCAAACUCCUGCGGGAGGCAGCAGUAGGGAAUCUUCGGCAAUAGACGAAAGUCUGACCGAGCAACGCCGCGUGAGUGAAGAAGGUUUUCGGAUCGUAAAACUCUGUUGGUAGAGAAGAACGUUGGUGAGAGUGGAAAGCUCAUCAAGUGACGGUAACUACCCAGAAAGGGACGGCUAACUACGUG
rnacentral:rRNA from 1 species